AUUGAACGCUGGCGGCAGGCCUAACACAUGCAAGUCGAGCGGAUGAAGGGAGCUUGCUCCUGGAUUCAGCGUCGGACGGGUGAGUAAUGCCUAGGAAUCUGCCUGGUAGUGGGGGAUAACGUCCUGAAACGGGCGCUAAUACCGCAUACGUCCUGAGCGUGAAAGUGGGGGAUCUUCGGACCUCACGCUAUCAUAUGAGCCUAGGUCGGAUUAGCUAGUUGGUGGGGUAAAGGCCUACUAAGUCGACGAUCCGUAACUGGUCUGAGAGGAUGAUCAGUCACACUGGAGCUGAGACACGGUCCAGACUCCUACGGGAGGCAGCAGUGGGGAAUAUUGGACAAUGGGCGAAAGCCUGAUCCAGCCAUGCCGCGUGUGUGAAGAAGGUCUUCGGAUUGUAAAGCACUUUAAGUUGGGAGGAAGGGCAGUAAGUUAAUACCUUGCUGUUUUGACGUUACCAACAGAAUAAGCACCGGCUAACUUCGUG
rnacentral:rRNA from 1 species